rnacentral:rRNA from 1 species
GGCAGUCCGCCGGGCGACGGCUACCGGACUGACUUCGCGGGGCGGGGGCGGCCGGCAGGCCGGCGUCCGGAGACGGGGGUCCCGCUUGAUAAGGGAGAGCGGAGCAGCGUGGAUUCGUCACAGGUAGCUCGCUCGCUCUUACCAAAGGAAGGACGUAUUUUGAAACGUGACUCAUGAAGGGAGGUCGGUAAACGGGAAGCUUUCGGAUAAUACCAACAAGACAUUAAAAUUUUUUGGAGGGAAGAACUUUUUAUCAGAUAUUACGAGUUUCCUUAGGAUAGCUGAAAACUGGUAUGGUGGAAGCAGAUAGAGAUGACGAACGAGCGUUGUAUUCAGAAUCGUAUCAUGUAUGCGGUUUGUUUUUACAGCCAAUGUGGGCUGGCGGUAUUGGUUAAAGCAAUGUGUUUGGCUUCGAUUGUGACCCUGUGGAGGGAUAAUCGCUCGAUGUGCGAUGCUUGGUAUAGCUAAUAUUAGCGCCGGUCUUGAAGUCAGUGGUCUAUCUGACCCGUCUUGAAACACGGACCAAGGAGUGUAGCGUUUACGCAAGUCUUAGAGUGUAUUGAAACUUAGAGGCAGAACGAAAGUGAAUAUAGCUGGAUCUAUUGAAUUGGGAUACGUUGUUUCUUGUGAAUGGCGUAGGACCAUGGUUUUAUCGCGACAGCUUGCUGUGCGGUGAAAAUUGAGCGUAAAUGGUGCGACCCGAAAGAUGGUGAACUAUGCCUGAGCAGGAUAAAGCCGGAGGAAACUCUGGUGGAAGUCCGAAGCGGUUCUGACGUGCAAAUCGAUCGUCUGACUUGGGUAUAGGGGCGAAAGACUAAUCGAACUAUCUAGUAGCUGGUUCCCUUUGAAGUUUCCUCAAGGGAAUAGCCUGAAACCGACUAAAAAAAUUUUCCACAAGGUUAAUCUAGACUACUAGCAUCAUGUUCGGAUAAGUUCUUUUUCGCUCCCUUAUUUCGCCAAAGUAAGCUACGAAUCGAUUGUCGCAACGCUUCACUUAACCGUGAUCGUGAUACGGAUCCAAUCGCAGAAGAGUUUCAAUGCAGAACUGUUAAUCCAUUGCCUCAUGCCGUAGGCUGACUCUAUACCUUGUAUCUGCCAGCAUCG